CGGACGGGUGAGUAACGCGUGGGUAACCUGCCCUGUACAGGGGGAUAACAGUCAGAAAUGACUGCUAAUACCGCAUAAGACCACAGCACCGCAAGGUGCAGGGGUAAAAACUCCGGUGGUACAGGAUGGACCCGCGUCUGAUUAGCUGGUUGGUGAGGUAACGGCUCACCAAGGCGACGAUCAGUAGCCGGCUUGAGAGAGUGAACGGCCACAUUGGGACUGAGACACGGCCCAA
rnacentral:rRNA from 1 species